rnacentral:rRNA from 1 species
UACGUAGGGUGCAAGCGUUGUCCGGAAUUAUUGGGCGUAAAGAGCUCGUAGGCGGUUUGUUGCGUCGGCUGUGAAAUCCCGAGGCUCAACCUCGGGUCUGCAGUCGAUACGAGCAAACUAGAGUGUUGCAGGGGAGACUGGAAUUCCUGGUGUAGCGGUGAAAUGCGUAGAGAUCGGGAGGAACACCAGUGGCGAAGGCGGCCUUCUGGGCAUUUCCUGACGCUGAGGCGCGAAAGCGUGGGGAGCGAACCGG